UACGAAGGGGGCUAGCGUUGCUCGGAAUCACUGGGCGUAAAGGGUGCGUAGGCGGGUCUUUAAGUCAGGGGUGAAAUCCUGGAGCUCAACUCCAGAACUGCCUUUGAUACUGAGGAUCUUGAGUACGGGAGAGGUGAGUGGAACUGCGAGUGUAGAGGUGAAAUGCGCAGAGAUCGGGAGGAACACCCGUAGCGAAGGCGGCACUCUGGGCCGGAACUGACGCUGAGGAGCGAAAGCGUGGGGAGCAAACAGG
rnacentral:rRNA from 1 species